rnacentral:rRNA from 1 species
UACGUAGGGUGCGAGCGUUGUCCGGAAUUAUUGGGCGUAAAGAAGCUCGUAGGCGGUCUGUCGCGUCUGCUGUGAAAUCCCGAGGCUCAACCUCGGGCUUGCAGUGGGUACGGGCAGGCUAGAGUGCGGUAGGGGAGAAUGGAACUCCUGGUGUAGCGGUGGAAUGCGCAGAUAUCAGGAAGAACACCGAUGGCGAAGGCAGUUCUCUGGGCCGUAACUGACGCUGAGGAGCGAAAAGCGUGGGGAGCGAACAGG